rnacentral:rRNA from 1 species
UUUGUCCGUAACUAACGGCAUUAAGCACCCCGCUGGGGAGUAGGCUUCAUGGCUAAAACUCAAAGGAAAUUGACGGGGGUUGCACAAGCGGCGGAGCAUGUGGAUUAAUUGAUGCAAACGAGAAGAACCUUACCUGGGCUGACAUACACCGGAUCGGGCCAGAGAUGGUCCUUCCUUGUGGCCGGUGUACAGGUGGUGCAUGGUAGUGUCAGCUAGUGUCGUGAGAUGUUGGGUUAAGUCACGCAACGAGCGCAACCCUUGUCUUAUGUUGCCAGCACGUGAUGGUGGGGACUCAUGAGAGACUGCCGGGGUCAACUCGGAGGAAGGUGGGGAUGAAGUCAAAUCAUCAUGCCCCUUAUGUCCAGGGCUUCACACAUGCUACAAUGGUCGGUACAGCAGGUCGCGAACUCGUGAGGGUGAGCUAAUCCUACAAAGCCGGCCUCAGUUCGGAUUGGGGUUUGCAACUAGACCCCACGAAGUCGGAGUCGAUAGUAAUCGCAGAUCAGCAACGCUGCGGUGAAUACGUUCCCGGGCCUUGUACACACCGCCCGUCACGUCAUGAAAGUUGGUAACACCCGAAGCCAGUGGCCCAAUCUGCAAGGGAGGGAGUUGUUCACGGCGGGCUGCGUUCGUCCUGAGCCAUGAUCAAACUCU